UCUGCCUUGUGUAUUUAACACACAUGUUCUGACAAAUGAGGCAGUCAUUCUUCUGCCUCAUUACACAGCCUCGAUUCAUCCCCAGGGUAUAGUCCAUCUUUACAUCGGGUGAAGAAGAGCUCGAGACGGGAGAGAGGAAAAUGUAGGGUCACCUGGGACUUGGGCAGCUCUGUUUUGUGGCCAGAAGGAUUGAUGAAGGAAUGAUGUGCGGUGCUGGAAAGGCAAGAAUGACAAACAGCAGCCCUGCGGUCACUUUGAAAGGCCUGAGUAAGCGUUUGCAGUGCCUCGUCCUGGAAAUGCUGAAUGCUAACACUUCACCUGCCGCCUGGGAAUCCACUUUCCCCAGGGAGCCUUCCCUGGGGGUGCAGCUGGAGGAGGCUGAGCUGGAGAUGCAUUACCACCCUGAAAGAACAUCGAGUAAAAGUAGGCUUACAGAGAAGAGGAGAUGGAAUGCGUUGGCCAAAAAGCUUCAUCUUGGAGUUCUUCAAGAAAGGAUAGCGACAAUUGACACACAGACAAAAAAACAAUUUA